GACAUAGGUGGCGAACGUUAUCCGGAAUUAUUGGGCGUAAAGGAUGCGUAGAUGGUAGAAUAAGUUGCUGGUCGAUGCCAAACUCAAUUUGACGGAAGCUGGCAAUACUGUUCUGCUAGAGGGCAGGAGAGGUUGAUGGAAUUCUGUGUGGAGCGGUGAAAUGCGCAGAUAUCAGGAGGAACACCAAUGGCGAAGGCAGCUCGCUGGGACGUGACUGACGCUGAGACGCGAAAGCGUGGGGAGCAAACAGG
rnacentral:rRNA from 1 species